AUUGAACGCUGGCGGCAUGCCUUACACAUGCAAGUCGAACAGCAGCAUGGAGAGCUUGCUCUCUGAUGGCGAGUGGCGAACGGGUGAGUAAUGCAUCGGAACGUACCGUGUAAUGGGGGAUAACGUAGCGAAAGUUACGCUAAUACCGCAUACGACCUGAGGGUGAAAGCAGGGGAUCGCAAGACCUUGCGUUAUACGAGCGGCCGAUGUCAGAUGAGCUAGUUGGUGAGGUAAAGGCUAACCAAGGCGACGGUCUGUAGCGGGUCUGAGAGGAUGAUCCGCCACACUGGGACUGAGACACGGCCCAGACUCCUACGGGAGGCAGCAGUGGGGAAUUUUGGACAAUGGGGGCAACCCUGAUCCAGCCAUGCCGCGUGAGUGAAGAAGGCCUUCGGGUUGUAAAGCUCUUUCGGCCGGGAAGAAAUCGCACAGGCUAAUACUCUGUGUGGAUGACGGUACCGGCAUAAGAAGCACCGGCUAACUACGUGCCAGCCGCCGCAAUAC
rnacentral:rRNA from 1 species